CCCUUAGAUGUCCUGGGCCGCACGCGCGCUACACUGAUCAUUCAACGAGUUCUACCUUGGCCGAGAGGCCUGGGCAAUCUUUUGAACCUGCAUCGUGAUAGGGAUAGAUUAUUGCAAUUAUUAAUCUUGAACGAGGAAUUCCUAGUAAACGCAGAUCAUCAAUCUGCAUUGAUUACGUCCCUGCCCUUUGUACACACCGCCCGUCGCACCUACCGAUUGAAUGGUCCGGUGAAGCCUCGGGAUUGUGGCGAGUUCCCUUUAUUGGGAGUUUGUCGCGAGAACUUGUCUAAACCUUAUCAUUUAGAGGAAGGUGAAGUCGUAACA
rnacentral:rRNA from 1 species